UCAAUUGUCUUUUAAAUGAAGACCUGUAUGAAUGGCAUAACGAGGGUUUAACUGUCUCUUUUUCCUAGUCAAUGAAAUUGAUCUGCCCGUGCAGAAGCGGGCAUACAUCUACAAGACGAGAAGACCCUAUGGAGCUUUAGACGCACACCAACCAUGAAAAGCAGCCCUCCACCAGGCCUCAAACAACAUGACAGUGGCACAAACGUCUUCGGUUGGGGCGACCACGGGAGAAAGAAAAGCUCCCGAGUGGAUUAGGGCCACCCUAAAACCCAGAGUCACACCUCUAAGUCACAAAAUAUUUGACCAAGAAUGAUCCGGCCACAAGCCGAUCAACGAACCAAGUUACCCUAGGGAUAACAGCGCAAUCCCCUCCCAGAGUCCAUAUCGACGAGGGGGUUUACGACCUCGAUGUUGGAUCAGGACAUCCUAAUGGUGCAGCCGCUAU
rnacentral:rRNA from 1 species